rnacentral:lncRNA from 1 species
GCAGAUCACCUGAGCCACCUCACUGCUCCCGGGACGGAGAACGUGGGAGAACCGGUUCCACGUGAUCAACCGGACUCAGUGAUCCACCGUAAACAGCUGAUUCAGGAUCAGACAGCAGAUCUCAGACCUCGGUCUCUUCACAUCCGAUCAAUCAAUAAUCAAUAAUCAAUAAUCCAUCACCAGAUCUCUCUCCCUCAUAGAAUCCAACUUGUCCUCGAUUACAUUCACGUGACAGCUUCAGUCACUUCUCUGAUUGAGACGAUCCAACAGGUAGAAACAGAUCAGAUCGGUGACACGUGACGUCACAGCGCCACCUGCCGGCCACAGACACACGGUGCAGCAGCUGACUGGGGAUCGAUCAGUUCUCAGGUUGAUUCUUUACAGUCAAACUAUUUCACUCAUAUUUAAAAAAAAACAACAAUGUUUUGUCUUUACAAUUUCUGCUUUGAAAUUGUAUAAAUAGCUCAUCCGGCCGAGCACUCACCUGCUCAGGUAGGACAUGACCCACCGUACCUUUGACUUGCGCCACUUGAGAACUUACGCCCAAAUUAUUUUCUGUCUUGGAACAGGUCCACGCAGAGUCAGGUUGGUGGGAGGAGCCAGUCGCUGCGCUGGUGAACUGGAGAUGAACCACCAGAGAGAGUGGAGACCAGUGACUGUCGGGGUUGGAUGGAACCAGAUAUCAGUGGAUAAAGUUUGCACACAUCUGGAUUGUGGAUCUGCUGUUUCAACAAAAGUUACAGAUAAUUCUCCAUACAGACGUGUGUGGUGGAUCGAUAACGACUGUGUCCAGUCCAAAUCUGCACUCAGGGAAUGUGUGAAGCUGACUGAUCUUUAUAAAACCAAGAAAGGCCAUGAAGUGAUCUGCUCAGGUUUGCUGGUUCAGCCAAACGUCUCCGUCUCGCCAAUUGUUGGGGUCUCCGGGGCCGAGCAGCAGGGGUAUCAUGUGCUCCUGGGCUCCAGCUUCACCGUCACGUGUUCUACUGAACCACAGUACCAAGGAGGCUGCUUCCACCUUCUCUUCACCACCUCCGACACGGCACACAUCUACACCCUGCCGGCUGUCAAUCACUCCGCCCACUUCCUGUUCCCUGCUGCGCGCAGCGCCCACCGAGGGGACUACACAUGUGUUUACCACGCCUACGUUUUCUCCUAUAACUUCUCUUCCGAGAGCCGGCCUGAUUUCAAAUCUCUUCCAGCUUCUGUGACUGAUCUGAUCAUCAGAUGUGUCGUGGUGCUGCUGCUUCUGACGGUGUCGACCCUCAUCCUCUACUUCCACUUCAAGGUGACGGACACACACCCAGCGUCCAUCCUUCAUCAGAGGAGAGAUGUUGAAUUAGCGCUAACAGGAAGUGUCUGCUGUCGUGUGUUUCCAGGCCGAAGGACGCCGGAGGAGACAGAGGCCUGAGACUCGUCAGCGCCCCCGCAGGUCAACAGCUGCAUCACGCGUCAACGUAGAGUAAAAGGAUCACAGCCGCAAUGGAAGAAGCUUCAGAUGGAUUUCAUCCAGAUAUUGAAUAUGUGUCAAUGUACAGUAUCUGAGAUCUAAGACAAAGUGAUAUGUUGACUUUGAAAGGCGACACAGGAUACAAACACAACAACUGUUAUUAGGACACAUUCAUCAUUCAUUGUUGCUGUUGGUCUUUUAUGGGAUUUGUUCAAUGAUAUAAAUAGAGAAAAUCAGCAGACUGAUCCUUUAAUAUUCAUAUCAGUGGUUAUGGAAGUGGAGUAUGAGGCAAAGUUGAAACAUUUAUUGAAUAUUUAAAUUCUUAAAUGUCAACUGUAAAAAAACCCAGCUUAUUUACGUUUGAUAUUCAUCUUUACUUUUCAUAUUUACUUUUUAUUCUUUUUAUACUAUUUUAUUUUAUAAACUCGCUUAGUUUUUCAAAAACGCUGUUGAAUGAAGUUUUAUUGUUGUUUGUCCCCAUAAGGAAGACAAGUCCUGUGAGUGUGUAAACACAUGUUGGUCCCCACAACAUGAGUAAUACCAACACACACACACACACACAUGAUACAAACAAUAACUUUUAUUAAGACACAUUCAUUGUUGGGAGCAAAAGACAAAACAGUUUAUUGUCAGUUGUUGUUAAAAUACAAAAGUAACUUUUAUUUACUAAUUUAUUGAAACAUUUUUGUUUGAUAUUCAUCUUUACUUUUUAUACUCACUUCUACUUACAUGUACAAUAAAACUUGACUUAGUCGA